rnacentral:tRNA from 1 species
CGGGGUGUGGCGCAGUCCGGCUUAGCGCACUUGACUGGGGGUCAAGGGGUCAGCGGUUCGAAUCCGCUCACCCCGA